ensembl:lncRNA
CGAUCCGUGGCCCUCCGCCCGCAUCUCUUUUGGCCACCUCUUCCCUCGACCUCACGACCCAGCCCUGCAGGCGCCUAAACUAAAGAAGCUCCCUUAAGGGAGCGGCGAAAACGUGUGUGCUUCUCGCCCUGGCACCGCGGGUCGCCCCCCGCGCGGGCCGGGACCGGCGGCGCCAGGAGUGGUCCUCCGCGUCCGGGAGGGGACGAGGACAAGGGGCAUCUCUGGUCCCCGCGUGCGAUUGUCCCCAUUUCUUCUUCUGUUCCCUGCGCCGCGCGCGCGAACUCUGGGGGGAAGUUGGUUGCAAAGUUUCCGAGGGCGGCGUGGGCUCCAGCGAGCGAGGCGGAGGGCGGGGUGCGGGCGCGGGGAGGCGAGGACAGACGCGCUCCUCGCGGCGUCUUUGUUCCGCUCCGGGGGAGAGACCUGGCGAGGAGUCUCCCGGGGAGGACCGGGACUGUCCGCCGCGACAUUCCGGGCUCGGCGGGGGCUCUUCGCUCCCUCCCCCAUCUCCUCCUUCAGGCAUCCCCCACCCCCCACCCAGCUCCCGACCUUGGUCCCAAGUUUCCAGGCCUCCUUCUGCCUCAUCCCUUUACACUCCCCACCCCCAAAACUGCACCAACCCAAAGACCCUCAAGUUUGGGAUGGGGAAGGAGGAGAGAUGGGGGCGAAGGUGCGCGAUGGGCCGAGUACCUCCUGAAAGGUGGAUGUUUGCUUCGGAAUGUUGGUCUUUUUUUUUUUUUUUCUUUGCCCUAGAAACUGCUUUCCAUUGCAGGCCCCCAUUCUCUCCCAUUCCCCCCAACCUCCGGCUUCCCUUCCCUUCAAUUCUAGUAAGAUCCUGAAGGAAAAUGAGCGCUACUCUGAGUCACUCCGAGCGCCAGUACUGUGGCCCGCAGUUGGGAUGAGCGUCUAAGGAUAGGGGACGUGAGGAUGGGGGUCCCCAGUUCAGACGGUCGGGGAAACACUGGUAAAGGAUUUGGAGGAGGGUCCGGAGCUGUUCUUGGUCCGGAACACCCGAUUUGCCCGGGCAAGGCAGUGGGGGAGGAGGCGGAAAGACGGGAUGCUUGGAGUUGCCAGGGAGUAGAGGUCGGGGAGGCGGCCACGGACCCUGAGUCCGAUUUUUGGAGCAAGGGCAAGGCAGUGGUGCAGAGAAGGGAACCGGUGAGGAGGGCCUGGCUCCAGGGUCAGAAGGAGCGCGGCCACCCGGAAAGCCUUGCCUUCGUGGCCACACAAAAGUGUCCGAACGCCUCGAGGACCGCGACAAGGGAAGUGUCUCUUCAAAGUGCGACCAAGUGGGGAAGAAGGUGUGAUUACUGUGGUCAGCAUCUAGAAAACAGAAGCACUCCCGCCUCCUCUGUGCUACAUCCUUCUUACUGGAUCUUUCUAUCAGUGAACAUUGUGGAAGUACCAUUACUACAUCGUCAUUCCUGAAGGAAAAGUUGCCAAACUUUUUUCUUUGGAGUUGCUUCGAAGUUGUUGGGAUUUUUGAUGAUGCCUCCCCUAUGUGGAUUACUACUGUUUGAACACUGGGAAUUCUCCAUCUUAAAGAAGCGCUCCCAAGUGACUACAGAAGCCUCGACACCCAGCGUGAUCAGUGAGUAAAUUUCCAAGCCAUCAAGAAGAAAUACGGUUGUCUCUCCAGCGUUCCAACAGGACCAUUCCAACAUCACUUGAACGUAAGCUCAAUGAAAACUGGCCUUUUCCUAUGUUUGGUUCACUGCUGGGACCCGGCACAUAGGGAAGAACCUCUUCAAUAACAAUACUCAGUGGAUUUUCCUUAAAUUACUGAGACUGUGGAAGGCUGGUUGUGUUGGAGGUACUCUGCAAGGCAUUGGAAAUAUUGGGAAAGUAAAUCCAGGGUCCACAACCUCAUCAUCUACCAGGAGCUGUGGAAUCCGAGUGCGGCUGCCAAGAGGAAUCCAGAAAAGCCAAAGAGCCCAAGCAUGUCAGACCUUCCUGUAGCCACACACACACACACCUCAAACCCCAAGGAAGUGAGUGAGAAUCACAGGCAGGGAGACAGCCAACCAGGAUCUCGUCCCGGAUACCGCACUGCAUUUGUUCGUCGUGUCUAAGACACCUUCAAUCUAUGACUGUUUCUCUGACAUGUUUCUGAUGACCUUUACAGUUUCACGGAGUGCAGGUCAGUCUAUUGUAGAGUGCUCCUCAUUUGGAAUUUGUCUGAUGUUUUUGCAUAAUUAGACUGCCUAUGGGUUUUUGAAAGACUGCAGAGGUGAACCAUGAUUUGGGGAUGCACAGUUAGACAUGACUGAGCGACUAACUCAUCCGCUAUCAACAUGGCUUGUCACUGUUGAGCUUUCCCUUGAUCCCCUGGUGGAGAUAAUGUUGGCCAGGUUUUUCCAUCAAGUUCCUCUUUUUACCCCCUUUUCCAUAUUUUUAGAAGCACAUCCCUAGGCAUAGAUCAUAGCGUUGUUUGAAGGUUAAAUGAGAUGAUAAAGCUCUUAGCACAGAGCACGGUGCUUAGAAAACCCUCAUUAAAUGUGACUGUCAUUGUUGCUUUUGCUCUCGUAGUCCCCUUAAGUACUUAAAAAUCUUUACAGCACCUUCCUUGUAUUUAUACCAUUCUCAGUCCUCUAUUGAUGUUGAUCAGAAAGUAAAAAUAAGAGCGCUCACAAACUUCUCAAGUGAGAUGGCUGUACUCAAAGUCACUCUAGGACAGGGAGUAUGAGAAGUCACUUGAGCGUUGCCACUGAAAGGUCUUGCUAAAUUGGGACCAUCAGCAUCUGGUCCUAUUUCAAGGGUUGGCAUCAGUCAUCAAGGAUGAGCAUGGAGAUGACAGUGGAGGGGGUGGGGGUGGCUGACAAGUCGUGGGCAUGAAAGAAAAAUGGAAAGUAAUUUAGGAGCUAUGCCUACAUUAUGGUGAGAGCCCCUACUCCUUACCACCCUCCAUGGUCAAAUUUGAUAGCUUUCAGGUAGAAUUCUCAGUUCUUAGAUAAAAACUGUCUUCCAGCACUUCUGUAUAAAAUGAGGGCCUUGUUCUAUGACCUGAGACGCUUCAAAACUCUUGCAGUUGUUGCUGGAGGUAUUCGCUGAGCCUGGAUAAUAGAGCUUGGAGUCCUGUGAAACCGUGUCUGUUGGAAUAAAUAAGAACAGCUGGUUUCUUGUACAGAUAGUGUUUGGCAUGAAUUUUUUAUUUAAGUCUCUCCAUGUAUCUGGUAAACAGUAAGCAGUAUUCAAACACUACUUAAAGCCUCCCAAGUCUCCUUCCAAUAAAUUUCCUUCACUCCUCCCCAUUUAAAAGUUCAGUGUGUAGGGCAGGGUUAAUGUAGCAGAAAAGGAAUGCUAGGAAAGUAUUUUCUGAGCUAGAGAAAAUAAGGUUCCUCUUCUAUGUAUUCUUUCCCAUUUGACCUUCAACUUCUCUCUUAGAUAACGCAUUUUUGGGGACUGUUUCUUGGGAAAGCAAGAUUUAUGCAGAUAUUCUUUUACUGGUGUGGAUGUACUAAGUGAAGAGAGACACAUUCGUGUUAAAAUGGAAUCCUCUGUCCCUGUGUUCUUCAAGGGGAGAAGAUUUACAUCUGCAUUAAGGGUAGAUGGUGAACUGUUCACUUCGUAUUCUUUAAAUGACUAGCAAGCAAACUGUUUUCCAUUUUCCGUUGUGAAUUUCAGCCUUAACAUGCUUACUUGAGACUGAGAAUGCCUUUCCUGUCCUACAGAGAACCCAGCACGCCCUUGAAGAACAUUCAUGGCAUCAUUCAUUUAUUCUGUUGUCUUUGUUAUUCACAGUAGAAAGAAAUUUUUAAAUUUAAAUCUGCCAAAUUAAUGUUGGGCGUCUAAAGGAGUAUAAACUAUGAUGUUGUAUUGUAUAUAGUCUUGCUUGUAUUGUUUUUUCAAGCAAACAGUGAGUUCCCUGGCCUGGAGGCUGGGAAUAUAAAUAAAGAUAAGAUAGGGAUCUACUUCACCAAUCAAGUGAUAACCUUUAUGGGCUCCAGGAGAUUUUUAUUAUUCUUUUAAGACUUUGCAGGACUUUUGUGGUCAUCAGGGUUGCUCUGUGACUUCUUGGACAAAGCUGAAAAGUCACCAUGGGGUUUGCUUUUAUCCCUUUCUACCUAUCUUAGUGGGAACCUGCGCAUUUCGAUUCUGGAGGGGCCUGAUGGAAAGACCCCCUUGACCUAGGUCAGGCAGGUAGUGUGAGCAAGAAGCAAACUUCCAUUAUUACAUGUCAGUAGAAUGUAGGAAGAUGUGUUCCUGCGAUAUUAUCAGCUUGUCCUGACUAAUCCAGUCGACGUUCUGAUAUCUUUCAAGUCUCUAGAAUUAAGGCCUAAAUAUUUAAGCUGUUGAGGGGAUAUUCACAGCUGUGAUGAUGGCAAGGGUAGGAAGUCUGCACACAUGGUCGUUACUAUCACACAGGACCUGGGUGGGCAGUUUAUACUCUGAGAGGUGUGACCUACACUUCAGUAUAUUGUUAAUAUUUCUUCAUGGAGAUUAUAUCCCUUCUCACCUGCAUGUCUGCUUCUCAGUCUUUACAUAAUGGAGAUUAAUUCUAAAAAAGGGAAAAAUCAAUGUGUGUACACACACACACACACACACGCACACACACACACACACUAGCUUACCCUCCCAAGAGUCACAUGAGAGAUUUUGAUGCCAAACUACUGGUUGAGUGCCAGGAAGAAUUUCUUGGGUGGACAUAAUGCUUAAUUUAUAUUCAGGGGAUUUCCACUGGUAAAUCACAGAGCUUAUAAAAUUUGAAAAGAGGAGGAGGGGUUGGAGAAGGAAAAAAAAGAAGGGCCCAGGGACGUGGUUGACAAUGUUCCUUUUAAUUUAAAGCCACCUGAAGGUUUCAGUUGAAUAAUAAAUUCCCAUAUGGUUUCCGUUCUUUCAAUGUUAGGACCUCAGAAAUGCAGUCUACUUUUAGCCUUGGCUUCUGCUUGCCUCUUUGUCAGGCUGAGAACGCUUCCCGUCUGCCUGCUGGUAGGAAGUGUGAGCCAAGCCCACUUCUUCUGGGGAUAGUUCCCAGGCUGGACUUUCUGCUGGGCAGGUUGGCUUUUCUGACCUGGAAGACCCACUCCCCUGGGGUGCGCUUAACUCUUCUUGGAGGAGUGGGGAUAGCCAGGGCGACCACUCAGGAUGACUUCAGGCUUCAUAGUGAGAAAGUAUCCUUAGAGGUCCUUUCUCAGCCCCGCUCGUGUUCUUCCCAGUCAUGCAGUUCUCUUUACAAUAAACUUGUCCCUUGAAGGAAUAUCCCAUCCUGCAUUGGGGUUUUUUUGGUAAACAUCAGACUCUUUAGAAGGGCAAAUACUCAGUAAACCCUGAAAACCUGAAUAUAGAGUUCAGUCACUUGUACUUUCAUUACUAAAAGUUUCCUCUUUUCCUGAUCCUGUGUAGGUUUACUUUCCUCAUGUGUUAAUGAGGUCAUGGCAUACUCAGGAAGUUUGUGGAGAAAACUUUAGGGAAACUGUUUUUGCAGUAUGAUGGUUGCUCUAAUCCUCCUUUUCUCUUAGUUUUCUUUUCAGUGUUACUGUCAAAGCUACUUUACUUGAAUUCUUCAUGAAAAAAUCAUCCAGUUUUCUUUUGAGAGAAACCUAGUGGAACAUACACAUACACACACCAAUUUAUAUUUAAACCUGGAUCUGAAGUUUUUCAGUUUUUAUAAUAGGUUGAGUUAAACUAUCUACAGACUAGAAAUCCACUAUAACCAUGUACUCUUGGUUGUAUAAACUGUUCUGGCUUAAUUUGUGAACUUGUACACAAAUAUCAUUAAAUGCCAUGAGAUAAUGUUGCUGUGGCUC